AUGGGAAAUUUUGAUCCCCUUUUCUUUCCUCUCCCCCCCGGUUAUGGUUCAGGAAAGGGUCAACGCAAGGAUCUUACUUCGAAGCAAUCUUUGGAGUUUUCCCUUAUCCGAACGGCCAAGCUUACUGCUAGCCUAUCGCCUAGAUCCAAGCUUCGACCGCGACUGCUCGUCACUUUUGGGCGCCUUUUUCCGUCACCCGAGAUCCAAGUUAGCACCGGCAAAGAUCUCUUGAUUCCUCGCGGCCAGGCCGACUUGGAAGCAAGCUACCU